rnacentral:rRNA from 1 species
UACGAAGGGGGCUAGCGUUGCUCGGAAUCACUGGGCGUAAAGCGCACGUAGGCGGCUUUUUAAGUCAGGGGUGAAAUCCUGGAGCUCAACUCCAGAACUGCCUUUGAUACUGAGGAGCUUGGAGUCCGGGAGAGGUGAGUGGAACUGCGAGUGUAGAGGUGAAAUUCGUAGAUAUUCGCAAGAACACCAGUGGCGAAGGCGGCCUUCUGGACGAUGACUGACGCUGAGACGCGAAAGCGUGGGGAGCAAACAGG